AACUGAAUUAUUUUAUUACACAUAAGUAUCGACACAUAUGCCGGGGUGCUCGUGCUAAACAGUGUCUGCUUUAUGGGAUUCUUAUAGGUAUAAC
rnacentral:sRNA from 1 species